rnacentral:lncRNA from 12 species
GGGGGGGGGGGGGGGGGGGGCCUCCCUCCCUCAGCCCCUCGGGAAAGCAAAACCCGAGCGUCACCCGCCGCUCCUCCGAAUUUUAUUGCUGCGAUAAAUCAAUAAAUCAAUAAAUAAUAACCGCGGUGGUGUCACCCGGCCGAGCCCCGGAAAGCGAGGAGACCCCCACCCCAAUUUUUGGGGGGGAGCCCUGAGGGGAGAGGGGGUGCUGCUGGUGGUGGUGGGAUUUCUGAGGACAGACAGAAUUCCGAACAGAAUCCCCCACAGGAGGGUGAACCUCUCCCUUUGCUCGAGGAGACCCCACCCCAGUUUUUUGGGGGGGAGCCUCAGAGGGAGAGGGGGUGCUGUUCAUAGUGGGAUUUCUGAGGACAGGCAGAGCUCCGAACUGACAGAAUCCCCCACAGCAAGGCAAAGGCGAGGAGGAGCCCCCCGGGGGGGGGGGGGGGGGGGGGGGGGGGGGGGGGGGGGGGGGGGGGGGGGGGGGGGGGGGGGGGGGGGGGGGGG